CCUACGGGAGGCAGCAGUGGGGAAUAUUGGGCAAUGGACGCAAGUCUGACCCAGCAACGCCGCGUGACGGAAGAAGGCUUUCGGGUUGUAAACUUCUUUUAAGGGGGAAGAGCAGAAGACGGUACCCCUUGAAUAAGCCACGGCUAACUACGUGCCAGCAGCCGCGGUAAUACGUAGGUGGCAAGCGUUUUCCGGAUUUACUGGGUGUACAGGGCGUGCAGCCGGGAAGACAAGUCAGAUGUGAAAUCCCGCGGCGCAACCGCGGAACUGCAUUUGAAACUGUUUUUCUUGAGUAUCGGAGAGGUAAUCGGAAUUCCUAGUGUAGCGGUGAAAUGCGUAGAUAUCGCGCAGAACUCCGAUUGCGAAGGCAGCAGGCCGGCUCCACACUGACGCUGAGGCACGAAAGCGUGGGUAUCGAACAGGAUUAGAUACCCGUGUAGUC
rnacentral:rRNA from 1 species